UUUGGCAACCGUCCAUUCAGUGAGCAAGUUCUGUGGGGAUCUGGGGUUGUCUCAGUGAAUAAAGUGCCCAUCCGGACCGCCUCACUUGGCUAUAAGCUGACGCGGACUGAUGGCCAAUUGCAAGGUAUUCACGUUUGGAUCGAUAUCCCAGGCACAAGCUCGUUAACCCCAAUCCUAUCACCUCAUACAUGUGAAGCAGAUUGUUUUUAAUGUGAUGACAUUUUCGGUGUCUGAACCUGAGUCCUGAUGCAGUAAAAAGCCUGAACGCAAGCAGACAUCCAUCCGUGUCACUCUCCGCACAGCCCGUAAAGUGACGCCCGCAAGUUAAUAGAGGUCCGCUCACAGCGCACAGGGUUCGGCCCGAAUUGAUGACCUUGAUGGAUUUCCGGUUGUCCCUGCUCUUAUUUCCCGUCUCCUUGAGAUUCUAGCUCUUUAAGUGGAAUCUGGAAACCUCCCUCACUAUCUGUAGAUUGGUUCCUUUCUCCAAGAUGGUGGAGCUUGAAGCCUGUCUGUGCUAUUUUUUUUUAACCUAGUUUAAUCUCUGUGUUUUUCUUCAACCACAUUAAUGUGCAGACUUUAUGGGUGGGAUGGGCAACCCCCCCCCAAAGAUACACCACCUCACCUCCUGGAGUCAUUUGCAUGUUACCCCAUUUUCUAUCUCUGCAGGGACAAGCCAAUUGCUCUCCACAGUAUUAUCUCAACCACCAAUGGAUUCAACUUAAAAUUACUUCUGAAUCUCAUGGCUGCAUCUCGUCCCCUCUUCCCCCCAGAGCUGAGGACCGAACCCAGAGCCUUGCACUUGCUAGGCAAGCGCUCUACCACUGAGCUAACUCUCCCACCCUCUCUUAUUUUUAUUUA
rnacentral:lncRNA from 1 species